rnacentral:rRNA from 1 species
CCUACGGGAGGCAGCAGUAGGGAAUCUUCCGCAAUGGACGAAAGUCUGACGGAGCAACGCCGCGUGAACGAUGAAGGCCUUCGGGUCGUAAAGUUCUGUUGUUAGGGAAGAACAAGUGCUAGUUAAAUAAGCUGGCACCUUGACGGUACCUAACCAGAAAGCCACGGCUAACUACGUGCCAGCAGCCGCGGUAAUACGUAGGUGGCAAGCGUUGUCCGGAAUUAUUGGGCGUAAAGCGCGCGCAGGCGGUUUCUUAAGUCUGAUGUGAAAGCCCCCGGCUCAACCGGGGAGGGUCAUUGGAAACUGGGAAACUUGAGUGCAGAAGAGGAAAGUGGAAUUCCAAGUGUAGCGGUGAAAUGCGUAGAGAUUUGGAGGAACACCAGUGGCGAAGGCGACUUUCUGGUCUGUAACUGACGCUGAGGCGCGAAAGCGUGGGGAGCAAACAGGAUUAGAUACCCUGGUAGUCCACGCUGUAAACGAUGAGUGCUAAGUGUUAGAGGGUUUCCGCCCUUUAGUGCUGAAGUUAACGCAUUAAGCACUCCGCCGNGGAGUACGGUCGCGAGAGNGAACGUAACGAAGAAGUUAGAGGCGUUGAGACGUUGCCGACGGCGACGACGAGGGAGGAGG